UGAGUAACCCGCCCUGGACUUGGGGAUAACCCUCGGAAACGGGGGCUAAUACCGGAUAUGACAUGCUCUCGCAUGGGGGUGUGUGGAAAGUUUUUCGGUCUGGGAUGGGCUCGCGGCCUAUCAGCUUGUUGGUGGGGUGAUGGCCUACCAAGGCGACGACGGGUAGCCGGCCUGAGAGGGCGACCGGCCACACUGGGACUAAGACACGGCCCAGACUCCUACGGGAGGCA
rnacentral:rRNA from 1 species